rnacentral:rRNA from 1 species
AAGCCCCCCUCAAGAUGAGAUUUCCCAUUCCGCAAGGAAGUAAGAUCCCUGAAAGAUGAUCAGGUUGAUAGGUCUGAGGUGGAAGUGUGGCGACAUAUGGAGCUGACAGAUACUAAUCGAUCGAGGACUUAACCAUA